rnacentral:rRNA from 1 species
UACGUAGGGUGCGAGCGUUAAUCGGAAUUACUGGGCGUAAAGCGUGCGCAGGCGGCUUUGUAAGCCCGAUGUGAAAUCCCCGGGCUUAACCUGGGAAUGGCAUUUGGGACUGCAAGGCUCGAGUGCGGCAGAGGAGACUGGAAUUCCUGGUGUAGCAGUGAAAUGCGUAGAUAUCAGGAGGAACACCGAUGGCGAAGGCAGGUCUCUGGGCUGACACUGACGCUCAUGCACGAAAGCGUGGGGAGCAAACAGG